UGCUGGCGGCGUGCUUAACACAUGCAAGUCGAACGCGAAAGGGACUUCGGUCCUGAGUAAAGUGGCGCACGGAUGAGUAACGCGUAGAUAACCUGUCUUCAUGUCUGGAAUAAUACGCCGAAAGGGGUACUAAUACCGGAUAUUCUUGCUUUUCAUAAGUUAUGCAAGCAAAGGUGGCCUCUGCAUAUGCUACUGCAUGAAGAGGGGUCUGCGUACCAUUAGCUAGUAGGUGGGGUAAUGGCCUACCUAGGCGACGAUGGUUAGCGGGUCUGAGAGGAUGAUCCGCCACACUGGCACUGGAACACGGGCCAGACUCCUACGGGAGGCAGCAGUGAGGAAUAUUGCGCAAUGGGGGAAACCCUGACGCAGCGACGCCGCGUGAGUGAGGAAGGCCUUCGGGUCGUAAAGCUCUGUCAAGAGGAAAGAAGUGUACAAUGGCUAAUACCUGUUGUAUUUGACGGUACCUCUAAAGGAAGCACCGGCUAACUCCGUGCCAGCCGCCGC
rnacentral:rRNA from 1 species